GGAGCUUGGUUACUUCCCUUCAAAGUGGAAGUUAGCUAAAGUUAUCCCAGUUUUGAAACCGGGGAAAGAUCCUUCCCUUUCCAAGAGCUAUCGGCCCAUCAGCUUACAGGUCUGGACGCUUUAACGGAAUAUUUUACAAGCUGGAAAAUUGUAAUCAAUGCAGCAAAAACUCAGGUCAUCUUGUUUCCACAUUCAAGAUCUCCAAAACUUGUUCCAUCAGACGAAUGCCGAAUACGAUUCGGUGAUGAGGUCAUCCAAUGGUCCGACGAAGUUAUCUAUCUAGGACUCACCUUUGACAGACAUCUGAUAUUCAGGUCACAUGUUGACAAAAUCGUUCAAAAAUGCAGCAUACUCAUUAGGUCUCUGUAUCCGCUGAUUUGUAGAACAUCUAAACUUUGCCUGAAGAAUCAGAUGGCUGUAUAUAAACAAAUCAUCUACCCCGCAAUUGAAUACGCAGUCCCUGUUUGGCGGGGUUGUGCACGAACACACAAACUUAGGCUUCAGCGCAUUCAAAGUAAGAUCUUAAAGAUGAUUCUAAAUCUACCCCCUUGGACAAGGACUAGUGAAGUACAUGAGAUGGCCUCCCUGGAUAUACUAGAACAAAAAUUCGAACAAUACUGCACGAAAUUUGAAGAGAGGUGCUCAAUCUCUGAAAUACAAAUAAUUCAAAAUUUGUACGUAUUAGGUUAGGGAUAGUUAUAAGUAGGUAGAUAUUUUAUUAAUAAUUAAAAUAAAUGUUAUGAUUAAACAUUAGCAUGUAAAACAAGAGUAACUAAAACACCUAUUAUUAAUAACGAAUCGUAUGAACAACAAAGAUGAAAGGCCGAAGGGUCAAAACACUUGUACUGUAAAAUGUUGAUGUAAAACACAAAAUAUAAGAUUAAUAAACAAAUAUUUAUGCAAAAUUCUACUCUACCUUAUGAAAUGGCGAAGUUUCAUGUGAACGGUAGAGAUAAAAUCGAUCUGUGCUGGUCGUUGUGCGGCUAUUUGAAAUGUUAAAUUGGAGUACGAUUGGAAGUACAAUUUUGAAGCUCUUUAUUCCGCCCGUCAACAGAAAAACGUUUUGAUGAGACUAGUCCACAAUCCGACAAGGUGUGGAAUAGUCGGAAAAAUAUAGUAAUAAUAUUAACAACACUUUCAUAUAAUUUCCAUACUUCAAAGUGACACUCAUGCUAUUCAAAUUAUUCAAAUUUGAUUCAUCUUGCACGUUGGUCAUUUCCAUAAACAUCUCUCGUAUGACUUUUAUUUGAUGGGCUCUCAUAUCGAUAUCAAAUAUGAAUAUUUAUAGCGCCUUCCAGUUGCUAAAAUAUAAACACAUUUGUAUUGAAUUGAACAAAUGGAAUUUUACUUAGCAACAUCCUGUUGCGCAAACAAAUUUGCCAUUAUAAAAACACCAGCAACGGUCGGGAAAUUCACAGUUCUUUUACGAUUCUGUUCAAGAUGAAGUUCUUGUUGCUUGCUGUAAUUUUCGCAAUCGUUGCUAUUGCAGGUGCUGUAUUCCAAACUGGUAAAGAUUCGACUAACGAAAAUGUUGCGGUGAACUACAUACCAGGAGAUGACUUCGCAUCGAAUUUUAUACCACGCCAGGCUCCUCCCCCCCUUUUUUAAUAAGUAAUGCCUACAUGCGUUCUUCGGUCGGAAACGGUAAUGAACUCCCAAAUUUGACUUAAAAGAGGAGUCUUUUUUUUUCAUGUGGAGCACAUUUUUUUUGGAGUGUUAUAUAGGAGAUCCAAAAUAGAACUGAAAACUGGAACAAACGUAUCCCCAGCAAACCGUUCUAGUUCUAUUUAUUCGAACAGUUCUUCUAUUCAAAAUUGGCAUACGCUGCCGUUCUUUUUUUCUGUUUUAAAACACGAGUAAAACACUGCUGGGGCUGCCAGUUUUUCUUGUUAUAAAAUCCAGAUUUAAAUUUUAAAACUGACAUAAAUUAUGCAACUAGAACUGGAACACUACUGAAUAUGCCCUAAAAAUAUAAGCUAAAUACAUACCCUAAAAUUACAUGAGAUACGUCUGAGGAAUGUCGCUUCCUAAUAGCAAGUGAUACAAAACGGUUCGAUGCCCUAACAGGUUUGCUUUGAUCGAACGAAUCGUUGCAUUACACAUACGACACAUUCGUCAUUUGAGGUCAUAAUUAUAGUUUCAUUCCAGCUAAACUCGAAUACAAAUUGGCGUACCGAAAAUCGAACACAGCAAGCGAUGUAAAAAAUUGCAUACAUUUGAGUUAUUGAUAUUAUUCCUUCAGAUACAAGACAAAUACAAAUUCAGGUGAACGAGAGUCAAUAUUCGUGGUUUUCGAUCUUAUUUGAGUUUUUCACGAGAACUAAAAGUGUUGUACUGUGAAUAAGUAUCAUGUGCGCCCGCACAUAAGUAACGAUGCAGGACAAUCAAUGUUGAUAGCUGGUUCUACAUCAAUAGCUCAAACAACCUCCAGAAGUCUCGCGGACCCACUGAUACGUAGAAUCGUCAUCUGGAAGACACUCGUAUUAUAUUCAAUCCACCGACCAUUGCCGAUCGCCAGCUGCAGGCUGAAUCUGCCAGAAUCGACCUUUGCGACCGAAAUACGUCACUACCCUAAUGAUAAUACCCUAGUUUUAAGUUAGUCGUUAAUCAAGAUUAGAAAAUACCCUUGGCAUCUUAGAGCAUUAGCAGUGUGCCUUUAAAUAUAUUAUUAUUGAAUAAAAAAAAAGUUUGAAUAGCUCAACCUCCAGGGGUUAAUCA